rnacentral:rRNA from 1 species
UACGUAGGGCGCAAGCGUUGUCCGGAAUUAUUGGGCGUAAAGAGCUCGUAGGCGGUCUGUUACGUCUGCUGUGAAAACCCAGGGCUUAACCCUGGGCUUGCAGUGGAUACGGGCAGACUAGAGUCCGGAAGAGGAGAGUGGAAUUCCUGGUGUAGCGGUGAAAUGCGCAGAUAUCAGGAAGAACACCCGUGGCUAAGGCGGCUCUCUAGUACGUGACUGACGCUGAGACGCGAAAGCGUGGGGAGCGAACAGG